CGGGUCAUAAGUUAUGAUAAACUGUCAGUCUUCAAAACUGAAAAUACUGCAAUGGUUGACCUGA
rnacentral:tRNA from 1 species